rnacentral:pre_miRNA from 1 species
CAUCUACUCCCUCCGUCCGGAAAUACCUGUCAUCAAAAUGGAUAAAAGGGGAUGUAUCUAGACGUAUUUUAGUUCUAGAUACAUCUCUUUUUAUCCAUUUUGAUGACAAGUAUUUUCGGACGGAGGGAGUAUUAU